CGACCGGCGCACGGGUGAGUAACGCGUAUGCAACCUGCCUGAUACCGGGGUAUAGCCCAUGGAAACGUGGAUUAACACCCCAUAGUACUUUUAUCCUGCAUGGGAUGUGAGUUAAAUGUUCAAGGUAUCGGAUGGGCAUGCGUCCUAUUAGUUAGUUGGCGGGGUAACAGCCCACCAAGACGAUGAUAGGUAGGGGUUCUGAGAGGAAGGUCCCCCACAUUGGAACUGAGGCACGGUCCAA
rnacentral:rRNA from 1 species